GUACGUGUGCGGCGACGCCGCCGCCGCGUCACCAUUCUCCUCUUGUCGUUGUUGCUCCGGGGCCAUCCUGCCCCGGUUUUUUUUG
rnacentral:ncRNA from 1 species